rnacentral:rRNA from 1 species
GAUGAACGCUGGCGGCGUGCCUAAUACAUGCAAGUCGAGCGAACGGACGAGAAGCUUGCUUCUCUGAUGUUAGCGGCGGACGGGUGAGUAACACGUGGAUAACCUACCUAUAAGACUGGGAUAACUUCGGGAAACCGGAGCUAAUACCGGAUAAUAUUUUGAACCGCAUGGUUCAAAAGUGAAAGACGGUCUUGCUGUCACUUAUAGAUGGAUCCGCGCUGCAUUAGCUAGUUGGUAAGGUAACGGCUUACCAAGGCAACGAUGCAUAGCCGACCUGAGAGGGUGAUCGGCCACACUGGAGCUGAGACACGGUCCAGACUCAUAGGGGAGGCAGAAGUAGGGAAUCGUCCGCAAUGGGCGAAAGCCUGACGGAGCAACGCCGCGUGAGUGAUGAAGGUCUUCGGAUCGUAAAACUCUGUUAUUAGGGAAGAACAUAUGUGUAAGUAACGGUGCACAUCUGGACGGUACCUAAUCAGAAAGCCACGGCUAACUACGG